AACUGGUGGGCUCAUUGAAGGGCUAGAACAGUGUGCAUUCAUAACAGAAAAAAAUGAUGUCACUUUAUAAAAUCAAAGAGAGACUUGUAAAACAAAAAGAAAAAAAAUGGUUAAUGAGCCAGAUGAGUCAAGAGGAAAUACUUUUCAAAGUCAUCCAGAGGACAGGGGCAGUGGCUCACACCUGUAAUCCAGCACUUUGGGAGACCAAGGCAGGUGGAUCACCUGAGGUUGGGAGUUUGAGUCAAGCCUGACCAACAUGAAGAAACCUCGUCUCUGCUAAAUCCGAAAUUAGCUGAGCGUGGUGGCUCAUGCCUUAAUCUCAGCUACUCAGGAGGCUGAGGUAGGAGAAUUACCGGAACCCAGAAGGCAGAGGUUGCGGUGGGCAGAGGUUGUGGUGAGCCGAGAUCGCGGCAUUUCACUCCAGCCGGGGCAACAAGAGCGAAACUUUGUCUUAAAAACAAACAAACAAACAAAAAAAUCAUCCAGAGCCGGAUGCGGUGGCUCAAGCCAGUAAUCCCAGCACUUUGGGAGGCCGAGGUGAGCAAAUCAUCACAAGGUCAAGAGACAGAAACCAUCCUGGCCAACAUGAUGUAGCUCUGUCUCUACUAAAAAGACGAAACUUAGCUGGGCGUGGUGGCACGCGCCUGUAGUCCCAGCUACUCGGGAGGCUGAGGCAAGACAAUCGCUUGAACCCAGGAGGCGGAGUCGGCUGUGAGCCUAGAUUGCGCCACUGCACUCCAGCCUGGGCAACAGCCAGCCUCCGCCUCAAAACAAACAAACGAACAAAAAGGUCAUCCAGCAGAGUGUCUCUUCAUCUCUAAAAAGCCUGUUUCUUCGUUCCUCAAUUCUAAUGUUUUUCUCACGUAAAAUACAUAAAAUACAGUGUACAUUAACAUUUUAAUCCAAACACAGUUUUGUAGGUAGAGACUGAAAGGCUACCAUUAUUUCUGCUGUUGUUUCAUAGCUGAUAGUGGAAUUCUGGGGAUGCUAUCGUGCUGCUUAGUUACCCUGAGAGCAUAACUCUUUUACUAUAUAAUGAUAUGGGUACUAGUCCAUUCUCAUAUUGCUAUAAGGAAAUACCUCAGAUGGGGUAAUUUUAAAAGGAAAGAAGUUUAACUGACUCAAAGUUCCGCACUGCUGGGGAGGCCUCAGGAAACUUAGAACCAUGUGGUUGGCAAGGGAGAAACAGGCACCUCCCAUACAGGGCAGCAAGUUGGAGUGACUACCAGCAGGGGAAAUGUCGGACACUUACAAAGCCAUCAGAUCUCGGAGACCCACUCACUAUCAUGAGAACAGCAUGGGGAAACUGCCCCCUCGUUCCAAUCUCCUCCACCUGGUUCUACCCUGGACGUGUGGGGGCUAUGGGGAUUACAAUUCAAGGUAAGAUUUUGGGUGGAGGACACAGCCAAAUCAUAUUAAUAUGCCACUUUUAAAACUGUUAAGCACUUACGUUUGAGUAAGUCUAAGAAAACAAUUGCUUAUCAGUAGCAUGUACAUUCAGAGUCAGGAUUGUUCACCUGUUUGGCUGAGGUAGUGAUGCCCUCGCUGCUGUUGGGCAGAUAUGUGAACGGACUUUGUUUCAUCACAAAAAUAUGUAAAAUAAAGCCAGGCACAGUGGCUCACACUUGUAAUCCCAGCACUUUGGAAGGCAGAGACAUGUGGAUCAAUUGAGCUCAGAAGUUCAAGACAAGCCUGGGGAACACGAAAUAUGAAACAUGAGAGGAAGAGCCAAUUUUCAAUAAAAUAUUGAAGCCAACACCAGAUCGUUUAAGUCUCAUCUAAAAACAUAGAAGUAGAAUGGGAGUCGGAGGAGAGAAACGACAUACGGAUUCUUCUACUAACAAGCUGCACUGAAUAGAAUGAAGCACACAGUAAUAAGAGAUAAUUUCCUCAAAACGAGAAUCUUCAGAAGGAAAAGGAAGAUUCAAAGAAGCUAUUAGACCCCAAAGCUUAUGAAGGCAGACCUCAGAGAUAUUGCAGGUUUGGUUCCAGACCAUGGCAAUAAAGCAAAUAUUGCAAUAAAGCCAGUCACAUACAUUUUUUGGUUUCUCAGUGCACAGAAAAGUCUUGUUCGAACUACUCCAUAGUCUAUUAAGUGUGCAAUAGCAUGUUUAAAAAAUUGUUCAUACC